GCAGUCUGAUCAGCGAUGCCGCGUGCUAGAUGACGGCCUUCUGGUUGGCACCGCUUUUGUUACGGAAAAAACGGAUUGGACUGGUACCAAGUUGACGGAACCGUACCUGAUCAAUAAGCAUCGGCUAACUACAUGCGCCAGCCUCGGAAGUAUUGACGGUGCUAGCGUUAAUCUAUUGUACUGGGCGGAAGCGUGGGCGGUGAUUUUUGCAACACAGAAGUGAAAUCCCUUGGCUGUUCCUGGGAACUGUGUUUGUGACUGCCUUGCUUUAAUACAGGGCAGGGGGAUGUAAUUCCGCGUGUAUCAAUGGAUUGCAUAUAUAUGCGAAUGACCAUCGAUGGCGAAGGCUAUCCCCUGGACCUGUACUGACGCUCUUGCAGGUGCGCGUGGGGAGCAAACAGGAUUACAUACCCUGGUAGUCCACGCCCUAAACGAUUACUACUGGUUGUUGGACGGCUUGUCCAAUCAGAAACCGAAGCUAACGCGUGAAGUUGACCGCCUGGGGAGUACGUGCCGCUCAGUUGAAAUUCACGGGAAUUGACGGA
rnacentral:rRNA from 1 species